UACGAAGGGGGCUAGCGUUGCUCGGAAUCACUGGGCGUAAAGCGCACGUAGGCGGACUCUUAAGUCGGUGGUGAAAUCCUGGAGCUCAACUCCAGAACUGCCUUCGAUACUGAGAGUCUUGAGUCCGGGAGAGGUGAGUGGAACUGCGAGUGUAGAGGUGAAAUUCGUAGAUAUUCGGCAAGAACACCAGUGGCGAAGGCGGCUCACUGGCC
rnacentral:rRNA from 1 species